GUGCCGCUCCCUACUGAGGAUUCACCAGUGAGAUCCGACCCAUCCCCCCAGCCCCUCCUGCCUGGAACCCAGGUCGCCCCACUGCUUCUCGAGUUCCCUCGAGCCUGCAGGAACUAAGGGAAGAGGAAGAUUGGAAGGAGGGGGUCCUCCUUCCGAGAAGUCCAGGCAUGCCACAGCUGCAGGGGGUGGACAGAUGGGGGCGUUUCGGGGCACUGCUCCAAAACUCCCAGUUCUUGUAAACUGUUCAUCUCACCACACGUACCCGCUCUCCAUUUCCUCCUUCCCCGCGAUCCGAGUCCUUCAGGCUAAAGAGAGGGGCUCUGAGGGGUGAUGGUGGGGCGCCUCCGGGCGCAUUCCCAGGCCGAACAACCCACUCUGGAAAUCCCAGCCUACGGCCCCCAUCACGCUAGCAAAUCCCCAGGCCGAGGGAGUCUCCAGUCCCUUACAAAGUUCCUUACAAAGGCGUAGAUGGAGGAGAGGAGACAGUGACAGAGAAAGAAUGAUGGUAGCAAAGGAAUCUUAGUACCUGUGUUGUUGUUGGAGUCCAGGGUCGUCAUGUCUUCACCAGCUGACAGCGGUCAUUCAAACUGGACCUUGACACAAACUGGAGAUUACAAUUGCCGCUGUCGCCCCCUGGGAACUGACCGAGGACGGGGAGUGGACCGCGGCUCACGAUAAGGAUCCUAGGCACCCUGCAGCAAGGUCUUGGGGUGGCCGACUGCAGCCCUGCAGAAGGAUAGCUCCUGGGACAGCAUUGAUGGAUGCCUGGAAACAGCUACCGAAAAAGUAAAGAAAAGGAGGCGUGUGGACACCAAGGAAGGAGGCUCUUCCCAUCCAGGACAAAUGUUCCCAACGUUGAGAGAGGAGUAUUCUCCAUUCUGGAAGUAAUUUGCAGCUUGAGGAAACUGAGCCCAGAGAGGAAGAACUGUUUCCAGUGUCGUUGGGGAAGAGGAGGUGACGGAGGAGGCAAGAAGCAGAACGCUCACCCUAGGAGAGGCCACGUUCCCAUCAUCCCGCCUGUAACUGAAGAACUCGGGUGGUAUUCGGGGAUCUCAGAGAGCUCUGCCAGCAUCAUGAAGAAGUCUAGGGGAAAUGGAGUAGAGGUAACCAACUUUGCAGCUAGGGAUUAAAACUCUACCCAACUCCA